ACAUUACUCUUUUACAAUUGCUAUCUCAAUGGGCACAAUGCUUUAAGUAAACAAGUCAUUCUUCCUCUACGAAAUGUAUGGAGUAAUCAAACCCGAGAUUUCCCACCAUUGCCGGCCACUGCAUUGCGCGAAAUCCAUUAGCAUCCCUACUUCUGUUCAGCACGAACCAACAGAGCCAAGGAACGAGCUCUUUCAAAAUUGCGCAGCGUGGACGUCCACGCAGAGUUGGGAAUUUGGUUCAUGCAGAGAGUCCGACUGCAAUGCCUGGACUCGGUAGUCACUGGUGUGAUAGAAGAAGCAACAAGGUUCAUUUUGUUAGUGUUUUGGAAGGUUUAUAUUUUGUAGAAAUGUUCUUGACAGGGUUUUUGGUUAUGGAAAAACACAGAAAUGUAAGAAGGGAUUUCGGCUAUUGCAGUCUGCCCACUUAGCAGCUCAUAGCAAACAUAUAUAUAUGCUGUCAGUAGGGUUUUGGUAUACAAGGUCAAAUCUUAUCUCCAUUGGAGCUAGUUGACAAAAACCACAACCACCAGAUAGUACUAAGCUAAUCUAAGCCCUUCAAUGGAGCUUUUAAUCUAAGCCUUACACUUGUAAAAAAACAUUACUUAAAAAACAACUAGCCGUUAGCAUGUAGCUGCUUCAUUUCUUCGAUCAAACUGGAAGUGUUUAGCAUCCAACACUCCCCUCUAAACUCUUCCUGGUGUUGACUCCAAGCAGGCUUCGAAGGUAUGUGAACCUCUCUUUUGGUAAUGCCUUUGUAAAAAUGUCUGCCAUCUGAUCUUCAGUUCUGCAAUACAUUAAUUCAAUGACAUUUUCUUGUAGUGCACCUCUGAUAAAGUGAUACUUCCUCUUUAUGUGCCUUGUUUUCUGAUGAAAAACUGGAUUUCUUGUCAUUGCUAUAGCUGAGGUAUUAUCACACAUUAGCUUAGUUGGCUAAACUUGCAUUUCUCCAAAAUAUUUUAGAACAAAUCUCAGCCAAAUUGCUUGAGAUGUUGCUUCUGCAGCACUCACAUACUCAGCUUCGGCUGUUGAUAGUGCAACACUUUGUUGCUUGACCGAGGCCCACGAGAACACACCAGAGCCAAAUGUAAAAGCAUAUCCCGAUGUGCUUUUCAUAUCAUCUUCACUACCUCCCCAGUCACUAUCACAGAAACCAACCAGAAUAGCUGACUGUCCUUUUUCAUAUUUGAUUCCAAAAUCAAUUAUUCCUUGCACAUACCUGAGUACCCUUUUUGCAGUUCCCAAGUGUAUUUUGGUAGGACUAUGCAUGAAUCUUGAGAGCAGGCUUGCAGCAUACAUAAUGUAUGGCCUUGUUGCUGUGAGGUAUAACAGGCUGCCAACAAUUUUCCUGUAGAGAUUUGCAUCCACUAACUCACUUCCAUCCUCACUCUUGAGCUUCUCAUUUGCAAUUAAGGGAGUGCUUACUGGUGUGCAUCCCUUGAGUCCAAAUUUGUCUAACAAUGUCUGUGCAUAUUUCAUUUGAUGAAUGAAAAUGCAAUCUGAUUUUUGAAUCACCCCCAUUCCAAGAAAGUGGUGAAGUAACCCCAAAUCUGUCAUCUCAUAUUUUUUUCAUCAUUUCAUUUCUAAAUUCAUCCACCAUUUUCUUACUGUUUCCAGUAAAAACCACAUCAUCCACAUAGAUGGACACGAUGAGAGUUUCUGACUUGUUCUCAACCUUGGUAUAGAGUGUUGCUUCACUGAGGCUUUUCUUGAAUCCACACUUAGUGAGAUGUGCAUCAAUCUCACUAUACCAGGCUCUUGGUGCUUGCUUUAGGCCAUAAAGUGCCUUAUUUAAUCUAUACACUUUACUUUCGGACCCUUUGACUUCAAAACCUUGUGGCUGGUCCACAUAGACCUCUUCCUCUAGUACACCAUUCAAGAAAGCAGACUUGACAUCUAACUGAUAUAGCUGCCAACCCUUCUGUGCAGCUAAUGCAAUUAAUGUCCUGAUUGUAUCUAGUCUAGCCACAGGUGCAAAUGUUUCAUUAAAGUCAAUUCCAGGCUUUUGAGAGUAGCCUUUAGCCACUAAUCUAGCAUUGUUCUUCUGUACUGAUCCAUCCAAGUUCAACUUGGUUUUAUAGACCCACUUCACACCUAUCACAGGUUUAUCACUUGGUCUGUCUACCAGAGUCCAAGUUUCAUUUUUCUCUAUCAUUGAGAUUUCAUCUCUCAUUGCCAUCUGCCAUGACUUGUCAUUUUCAGCCUCUUCAAAGGUCUCUGGUUCAAUAACACAGAAAUUGCAUGCUGCAUAGAUUUCUUCUAGGCUUCUCAUUCUAAUUAGUGUUGAUCCUGAGCUUGAGUUUGAACUCGAGCUUUGUUGCCCUCUCUGUUGAGAUGUUGAACUUGCACUUGAGUUUUGUGUACUCCGAGGGGUUUGAACUGGUGAGAUAUAAGGAAUCUGCAAGCUUUCUUCUUCAGAUUCAUAAAUUUCACCAAUUUCAGUUUGUGCAGUUCUUUGCUCAGGGACAUCAACUUGCAGUGAUACUUUGUCUUGUUCUUUUGCAUUUGUCUCCCAAUUCCACAAUGAUUCCUCAUCAAAAAUUACAUCUCUUGAGAGAUUGAUCUUCUUGGUUCUCAAAUUAUACAGCCUAUAACCUUUUUCAUUUGUGCCAUACCCAACAAAAAUGCACUUAUUGCUGGAUUCUUGUAACUUGUGUCUGAGUUGUGAUGGCACCAGUGCAUAACACACAUAGCCAAAAACCUUUAAGUGCUUGACUCCAGGCUUUCUUCCACUGAACACUUCGAAUGGAGUUUGUUUCUCCAAAGCUUUGGUAGGACAUCUGUUCAAGAGAUACACAGCAGUAUUCACAGCUUCUCCCCAAAAUGAAUAAGGUAUUUUCUUCUCAUGUAGCAUGGAUUUUGCCAUCUCCAAUAUAGUCCUGUUCUUUCUCUCUGCAGUGCCAUUUUGUUGAGGAGUGUAAGCUACUGUGAGUUGCCUUUCUAAACCCAAAUCUUCACAGAAAGCUUUGAAUUCCAGUGAGGUAUACUCACCUCCCUUAUCACUCCUUAUCUUCUUGAUUUGAUGCCCACUUUGUAACUCCACCAUUGCUUUAAACUUCCUGAAUAUAUUGAAGACUUCUGAUUUGAACCUCAUAAAAUAUACCCAACACGUUCUUGAGUAGUCAUCUAUGAAAGUCAAGAAGUACUUAUUCCCACUGAUGGAUGCAUUUUUCAUUGGACCACACACAUCAGUGUGAAUUAGUUCUAGUGGUUUCUCAGCCCUCCAAGCCUUUCCAGUUUCAAACUUGUCCCUGUGUUGUUUCCCAAAUGCACAGCCUUCACAAACCUCCUUCAUUUCAUCCAUUUGAGGCAAACCUUGCACCAUAUCAUGUUUUUGCAGAUUUUUUAGACUUUGCACAUUCAAGUGCCCAAACCUUUUGUGCCAUAGUCUCUCUGACUCAAUUUUGCCUGCCUUCCUUGCCACUUCUUCCAAGCAUUUAAGCAACAAUGGAAAGCUUCUAUUUUUCAUUUGAACUUUCACAACCAGAUUCAAUAGAGUUCUAUCAUCAUAUACUUCAGCAAUGGUAUCUCCAAACAACAAGAAAUAGCCAUGUUCCAUCAUCUGUCCAACACUUAAAAGGUUUUCCUCCAGACCAGGUACCAACAUGACUUUUUCAAUGUGUCUUCUUCCCUUCUUGGUUUCUAUUAUGAGAGUACCUCUGCCAGUUGCUUUCACAAUAUCGCCAUUUCCCAUCUUAACCUUUCCAGUGAAUGUAGUAUCAAUAUUAGUCAAUAGAGACUCAUGAGCAGUCAUAUGAUUACUGCACCCACUGUCUAUAUACCACACUUCACUGUCUUUUACAACAUUGGCACUAAAAGCACAAAAGACAUUGUUUUCUUCUUGUUCUUGUUUUGCAAUGUUCACUUGCUGAGUGGUGUUUAAUCUACAAUCCUUCUGCAAAUGGCCAAAUCUAUUGCAUUUGUGACAUUUUGGCUUUCCUUUAAACCAACAUUCACCAAAAUGGGCUUUAUCACAGUAUCUGCACAAUGGUUUGGUUUUUCCACCCCCAUUGUUGCUUCCACUGUUGUAUUUGUUCUCUCCACUUGGUCUUCCUUCCCACUUCUUAUUUUUCCCUUUCCAAUCUCUCAUUGGUCUGUUUUGAUGCUGAUUAGAGUGAUUUGAUGACCCUAUGUUUAGUGACUGGAAGGCUUUCUCAGUUGCACCAUCAGAAUGCCUUUCGAGCCUUUGAUCAAAAGCUCUCAAGGAAGCCAUUACAUCUUGAACACUGAGUGUAUCAGUAUCCUUAGUUUCUUCUAUCACACUCACAAUAGAGUCUUAAGGCUUAGUCAAACUAAUUAGAAGCUUUUGCACUAUUCUUUCAUUAGGCAGUUCUUCUCCAUAAGUUUUCAUUUGAGUCACAACAUCAAACAGCCUAGAAAAAUAGUCUUUAAGUGGCUCAUCUUCUUUCAUGCAUGUAUAUUCAAAAUCACGUCUAAGAGACUGGAGUUUUACUUUCCGUACCUUCACAUCUCCUAUGUAUUCUUGUUGCAGAGUAUCCCAGGCAGCUUUGGCAGUUUCUUCAUUUGCUAUCCUUGGGAAUAUGACAUCGGAGAUAGCACCUUGAAUGAUUCCUAACGCUUUAGCAUCAUUCAUCCUGUUCUCCUUCAAUGUAGAUAUCUGCUUCUCUGUGAGAUCCUCUUCUAGAGCAUCUACCUCCAUUUCUGGUAACUCAUAUCCAUUUUGAACCAUUUCCCAGAGAUCAUACGACUUGAAGAUGGUUGUCAUCCGGAUCCUCCAAUAGUCGUAGUUUUCUCCAUCAAAGACUGGAGCUUUAAGUUCUCCUCCACCAGCUCCUUUCAUCUUUAACUUAUAUUGACAGUUAGGGUUUCAGCUUUUACCUGAACAACCCUCGAAAUAGGUUCCACAAUGCCCAGAUUUCAGUGAUCAAGAACAAAGCUCUGAUACCAUGUUAGUGUUUUGGAAGGUUUAUAUUUUGUAGAAAUGUUCUUGACAGGGUUUUUGGUUAUGGAAAAACACAGAAAUGUAAGAAGGGAUUUCGGCUAUUGCAGUCUGCCCACUUAGCAGCUCAUAGCAAAUAUAUAUAUAUGUUGUCAGUAGGGUUGUGGUAUACAAGGUCAAAUCUUAUCUCCAUUAGAGCUAGUUGACAAAAACCACAACCACCAGAUAGUACUAAGCUAAUCUAAGCCCUUCACUGGAGCUUUUAAUCUAAGCCUUACACUUGUAAAAAAACAUUACUUAAAAAACAACUAGCCGUUACAAAAACUAGCCGUUAGCAUGUAGCUGCUUCAUUUCUUCGAUCAAACUGGAAGUGUUUAGCAUCCAACACAUUUGAUGAUGGCUAUCUUCUCACUGUUAGGGCUGGAGACACUAAUGUUGAGAAGGUUCAUUAGAACCUGUACGUCACAUCCGCCUCUUGAUCUAGCCCGUAAAUCCUUGGAGAAGGCUACCGAAGACAAGGCUUAACCUGCACCCAAAAUCCCAGCGAGAUUUGGGCGAGAGAUUUCCAUCCGAGUCGAAGCUUGCAGCUAUUCGAAAGGAAGCACAAAUACGAGGCUUCCAUUUCAUUUCUCGGCCUUAAAUCGAGGAUGCCGAUAAGACAAUGCCUCGAUUUAUAAGUUCUAUGCUCCCUCCGGUCCAGAAUCGGCAUGAACCUGGUUAAUCAAAAGAAACAAAAAAGCAUCAGCACUGGAUUAUCUCAAAUGACUGACCUGAACAAAGAAAACUAAAUCCAUAAAUUAACAACAGCCCUAAUCAUAACCAACUGAUUAGCCUCUCUCGAUCUCUCAUAUAAUAAUAUUAAUCUCUAAAACCCACCACCUAAUAUAUAAAAACUUAAAAAAAGAUGGAAUCUCAAAUAACCCACCAACAAAAAAUACAUACGCACCGAUUCGAUCCAGAAUAAAAACCAAUCUUCAGUUAUAUAUUUGUAAAGAUUCUAACCAUGAUCCAAUGAUUCAGAUUCAGAUACCAGAACACUAACUAAACCAACGGAAAUGCAUGAAUCAAACCCUAAAUUUAGGAAAAUUACCUCUGGCGAAUAACUCUGGUAAAUCAUAGAUUCGAUCGAUUGUUGACAUGACAGCCAUCACCGGGCUCUCGUCAUCAUCAGGAUCAUCAUCGUCGAAGUCGCCAUCUCCCCUUUGGGCUUCGGCAGCCAUGUCAGACAACUCUCCACCAAACACGCCGUAACUGCAGCUAUCUAUGUCGUGUUUGUUUGUUUUUCCACACAUGACAAAGACAG
rnacentral:lncRNA from 1 species